CACCCCGUGUUUACUUGUGCCUUGUUCUUUCGCUGCGGUUUUGUGGGCGGCCAACAGCUGUGAGCUUGUCGGGCUUCCCCCGGCACCUCCUGGAUGUGCGGGUUUUAGGUACUUAGUGCUACCCGAAACCCUUCACGGGCACCACAGGUGAAAGGAAAGGGACAGUUUUGCCCCACAUCUCCCGAGACAAAUCUGACUCAGUCUUUCUGGAUGGUCAAGUGCACACUCGAAGCCACGGGAGAGGGGCACGAUGGGGAUAGCAGCGGCUCUUAAGUGAGAGCAACAAGUACAAGAAACAGCAAAACAUGAGCUGUAACAAAAAGUUGAAGGAAUUUGCAUUGUUUGCACUUAAAAAAAAAAAAAAAGGCAUUUCAGAGAUGUCUUCUAGGCUUUGCAAGCAUUCAGAGGGCUGCAUCAGAUGUAAGGUCUAGCAAUGAUUUACAGGGAGGAGAUGGAUUGAAAUUGAAAGAGCCCUGUGAUUUACCAGCGAAGUUGUGCAACAUCUUUCACCGCAGGUUUUCAAGCACUGGUUACGCUGUCUCCUCCUGCCACUUCCUGAAGGACUGGGGCCUGCCGCAGGGCCAGCCUGCACAGGGAGAUGGAAGAAGUGAAGAUGACAAAGACUAUUAAAGAAAGGGGGGGAUGUGGCGAGGGGCAAGGGAAAAGGGAGAGGCAAAAGGAUGAGAGCUGAGCUACAGCACAGCAUUAGUAGAUCAAAGCCUUAAGUGGGUAACCCACUUGCUUGAGUUGCUCACAAACUAAGUGUUUUUUCAGUUAUUACUGAUAAUAAUAAUUAUUAUAUCUUAAUAUAUACAGUAUAUUAAUAUAUAAAAAUCAAUUAUUCAAUAAUUAAAAACCGUAAUAACCAAGUUAUUACUACUGAGGAAGGAAGUUCCUGCAUGCAUGGUUUUCCCUCUGUGUGAAUUUAAGGACAAUGCCAUUUAAAAUAUCUACAGGCAAGAUUUCCCACUGCAUUAUGGCAAAUUUUCAGUAAGCUGUUCUGUUGCUGUAAAAAUCUGAAUAACAUUUACCUGUGUGUAAGUAAGCAGUGUUUUGAUGAACACAUAUUUUGAUAAGAGGCAAGCUUCGCCCCCCCCAGUGACUAUCUGCAAUUAAUCUUUAUAUCAGCAACAGAACAGGGUUAUACAUCUUGUAGAUUUGCUAGGCUGCAAAAGUGUGUCUAACUAUUUAAUGUGCUUGAACAGUGAAAGAUAAUGCCACACCAUGACACAGCUAAUAAUUCAUAUUCUAUGCAGAAUUGGUAUUUAAAAAAAACCCGAGCUAGUACAUUGCCCAUCUGUGUGUUUCUAUUUUGGUACUGUUGUCAGAGUAACCAUGACACUUUACACCAAAUACUAUCUCUUCUUCUGAAUCUAACAAGAUCUAGAUUACAUAUUAAACCGAUUACUUCAAUAAAUCUAUCAGUUCUGUGAUCUGUAAAGAGCUAAGGGCAUGUGCAUGACAGUGUAUUUCAGGCAUGGAAGAAGUGUUUAAUCUGAAUUGCAAGUGCAUAGCUGCUCACAGCAUCGAAUUCUGCGGGGGUAUCCUGCCCUACCAAAUACCAAUCCCUCUUCUUGCAUUCCCCAGGAAAGCACAGCAGUUUUUAAUCUGUCUGCAGCUGAAAAAAAAUUGGGCUGAGGAUAAAUACUAGAGUACAAUUUCCUUUUGCUUGAAGUGUACAUUUGGUUUGAUCUCCCCUGCCUUGAUGCAUAUUUAAAGAUACUGUGUAAACCUCUCUUACAUUCACAUUCCCUGCAUCCAGUGGGCCUGCACAGGUGGGAAGUACCUGCACUGAACAGCCCUAAUGUUAGCUCAGGACACGAGCAGCUCAUAUUGAGGACAUCACUAAAAUCUUAGGUGAUCCUCAUUGGCAACUUAAGUAGUCCCUAAUUUUUACCAUUUGCUUUCAUGUGUAACUAACAGAUGAUCUAGUCUCACAUUUCAGCACUAUGAGAAAAACUAGGCUUUAUUCAUAUAUGUUAUUUCCAAUCCCAGGCAGAAGAAUACAAGGUUAUAAAGACAUCCAGAGCCUGAAGAAUGACUUCAGAGCCUAAAAGAUUUUUUUUUCUUCCCCCCAGGUUUAAACCUGAAAGUCCUUAUUUGGAAUGAACGACACAGUUUCUACACAUAAUCAGUUGCUCUGUAUUUUCAUGGCUUCCUGGCUGGAGCCUGGAACAAGACAGCAAGGUAACACAGUGAAACCUCUUCAUUAAAGUGACACAGGGAACAUCGUUAUGGAAACCUGCUGUCUCUGAGAGAUGUACACACAUGGCAAAGAUGAGGAUACUUGCAACAGCCUGAUUAAACCUCUAUCGCCUGGCAAGAAAAUGGGCCAAAACACAGAAAGACUGAGACAGCUCACUGUGAAGAGAUUAAUUAGUGGUUAUCGGUACAGUCUUCAUUCACCUUUAGACUGAGCUCAGCAUUGGGAGAAAGGUCUUCAUGGAAAUCUGGUGUAGCUGCGGUGUCCUCAUGGCAUCUCAGCCUGCAGAGUCCAGAAGAACAUAGUUCCAACCUCCCCAGACACAAGGAAGUCAUCAUGACUUUUCAGUUCCAACCCAUCCAUACUCUCCCAACAUCUGGAAGCUGAAUAUCAGGUGGAUCUGGUUCACUUCCCUGAAGUUCUGGCAGCAUGGUGGACUGAACGCGAAUACCCUUUUACUACUGCUAUUUUGUAUUCACGCCAAAUUUUAUUUUGUUUUUGUUCCAUGCAUUCCUCAGCAUUUAACACACCCGCAACCUCACAUUCACCGGGGGAAAAAAAAAAAAAGGCACCAUCUCGUCUUCCAAGCAUAUAUGUGCCAUCAGUCUGCAACUGCUGAAACUAAAGCCAGCUUUCUGAGCAGCUCCAUUCUGAAAAGUAGGAAGAGGACACUACCAUCCAUUAAAGUUACACUGGCAAUCCGUGUCUCAAAGUCCCAGCUUAGUCAUGCAUUUAAGUGCCCAGUUUCCUCUAUAUACCAACUAUGCACACAUUACAAGUAUUUUCCAAUUGAUGUCAACAAAGCUGUCCUGUGCAUUGCAGAUAACAAAUGUUAACGCGC